AGUGAACGCUGGCGGUAGGCCUAACACAUGCAAGUCGAACGGCAGCACAGUAAGUGCUUGCUCUUACGGGUGGCGAGUGGCGGACGGGUGAGGAAUACAUCGGCAUCUACUUUUUCGUGGGGGAUAACGUAGGGAAACUUACGCUAAUACCGCAUACGACCUACGGGUGAAAGCAGGGGAUCUUCGGACCUUGCGCGAUUGAAUGAGCCGAUGUCGCAUUAGCUAGUUGGCGGGGUAAAGGCCCACCAAGGCGACGAUCCGUAGCUGGUCUGAGAGGAUGGUCAGCCACACUGGAACUGAGACACGGUCCAGACUCCUACGGGAGGCAGCAGUGGGGAAUAUUGGACAAUGGGCGGAAGCCUGGUCCAGCCAUGCCGAGUGGGUGAAGAAGGCCUUCGGGUUGUAAAGCUCUUUUGUUGGGAAAGAAAAGCAGCAGGUUAAUACCCCGCUGUUCUGACGGUACCCAAAGAAUAAGCACCGGCUAACUUCGUG
rnacentral:rRNA from 1 species